UGCAAGCUAUCUUUGUACUAGCAUGCGAUGCCAUAUAUUUGACGCAGAGCCUUGUCCCAGUCUCUAGACCUGCCUGUCUGUGUGGUGGAUGACCACCUGACCUCUGAAGCUGUCAAUGAGAUGGAGCAGAGCAAUUCUACCAGGAGCAGAGCAACCUCAGUGAUGGAAACCACAGAAGAGGGGAAGCUCAACAAUGUAGAACAUCUGACACUUAUGGACUUCCUUCAAAACCUAACUGAGAAGUAUGUUCUGUUUUCUUUGGUACUAUCACACCUUCAAGGAAAUAGGAUCAAAUUAGAAACUGAUCAAUC